UGGGGAAUAUUGCACAAUGGGGGAAACCCUGAUGCAGCGACGCCACGUGAGCGAAGAAGGUUUUCGAAUCGUAAAGCUCUGUCCUAUGAGAAGAUAAUGACGGUAUCAUAGGAGGAAGCCCCGGCUAAAUACGUGCCAGCAGCCGCGGUAAUACGUAUGGGGCGAGCGUUGUCCGGAAUUAUUGGGCGUAAAGGGUACGUAGGCGGUCUAUUAAGUCAGGUGUGAAAGCGUGAGGCUUAACCUCAUUAAGCACUUGAAACUGAUAGACUUGAGUGAAGGAGAGGAAAGUGGAAUUCCUAGUGUAGCGGUGAAAUGCGUAGAUAUUAGGAGGAAUACCGGUGGCGAAGGCGACUUUCUGGACUUUUACUGACGCUCAGGUACGAAAGCGUGGGGAGCAAACAGG
rnacentral:rRNA from 1 species